UUGACGGGACCGCACAAGCGGUGGAUGAUGUGGAUUAAUUCGAUGCAACGCGUAAAACCUUACCUACCCUUGACAUGUCCGGAAUCCCGAAGAGAUUUGGGAGUGCUCGCAAGAGAACCGGAACACAGGUGCUGCAUGGCUGUCGUCAGCUCGUGUCGUGAGAUGUUGGGUUAAGUCCCGCAACGAGCGCAACCCUUGUCAUUAGUUGCCAUCAUUUGGUUGGGCACUCUAAUGAGACUGCCGGUGACAAACCGGAGGAAGGUGGGGAUGACGUCAAGUCCUCAUGGCCCUUAUGGGUAGGGCUUCACACGUCAUACAAUGGUCGGUACAGAGGGUUGCCAACCCGCGAGGGGGAGCUAAUCCCACAAAGCCGAUCGUAGUCCGGAUCGCAGUCUGCAACUCGACUGCGUGAAGUCGGAAUCGCUAGUAAUCGUGGAUCAGCAUGUCACGGUGAAUACGUUCCCGGGUCUU
rnacentral:rRNA from 1 species